rnacentral:rRNA from 1 species
UAGGGAAUUUUCGUCAAUGGGCGCAAGCCUGAACGAGCGAUGCCGCGUGAGUGAAGAAGGCCUGGUCGUAAGCUCUGUUGCGGGGGAAAAAAGGGACAACUACAGGAAAU